rnacentral:tRNA from 1 species
GGCUCCUUGGUCUAGAGGUAUGAUUCUCGCUUUGGGUCUACUUAAUAUCCAAAAACUGCGAGAGGCCCCGGGUUCGAAUCCCGGAGGAGCCC